GGAUAGCGACACUGACAGUUCGCAGUUGACCGCGUGUGGGAUUCUGUGACUGCACCUCUCCACACCUCUGAACUCCUGGAGUAAACAGCGUGUUAAGAGUUGUCGAUUCGCGGAAGGAUACGUCGUCCAGAUUUUAUUGUGAGCACCUUCGCAGGAACAGCGAUCCAGACACUGGUUGGCGGCCAGCUGUGGUUGGCGGCGUGUUGGGUUGCGUGGUUGUGUGUUAGGGCACAUCAGAAAGAAAAACCAACAUGUUGUCCUGUGGGAUGUCUUGCGUGAAGUAUUUACUGUUCUCUUUCAACCUGUUGUUCGUGAUUUCUGGUAUGGUAAUUGCAUCAGUCGCUUUAUUUGCUCUUCAUGAUAUAUCGUAUUAUGAUCUAUUCUUUGGUGGAAGUGUUCUUGCUGGAUGUAUGCUGCUAGUUACGGUUGGAGUCAUUGUUUUUAUAGUUGCAUUUUUUGGUUGCUAUGGAGCACUGAAGGAAAAUCAUUGUAUGGUAAUUACAUUUUCAGUGCUACUUUUCAUCAUCUUCAUUAUGGAAAUAGGUGGGGGUAUAACAGUUUGUCUUGAAGGAUGUUUUGAGAGAUGAGAUAGAUACUCAGUUAAAUAGCACACUUUCUGCCUACAAAAACUAUGAAGAUAUUCGAAGGUCAUGGGACAUCUUGCAAACAGAUUUCCAUUGUUGUGGUGUCAAUGGACCUGAUGACUGGGCUAAAGCAAGUUUGAAGAUACCUACCUCGUGCCGUGAUGACCAUGAUGUUAAUGAGCCAUGUAAAGAAUCAGUAUAUCAGAAAGGUUGCGUGGACUUGCUUGAAAAGUUCAUCAGUCAGCAUGCUGUAAUUGUUUGUGGCGUUGGAGUAGGAAUUGCUUUCAUUCAGGUGGUUGGCAUAAUUCUAGCAUGCUCCUUGGCAGAGUCAAUUAAAAAAAGAUACCAGGCUCUGUGAAGUGAAUGGUCCUUUUUAAGUAUGUUUUAGUGAUUAUUGUGAUUUGUGUGCAUAUUUAUUUAAUGGUACUCUUAAGUUUUGCUCAUCUUUAAGAUAGUACUUUUGGAAUCUCAUAUUUUGAAUCUAAAUGUAAUUGUGAAGCCUGAAUGGAUGUAAUUCUUACAUGCACUGCUACUUCAUAAGACUGUAAUGUACAUAUCUUGAUUAAUAUUUAGUAUGGACAAGCAUUUAGAAGAUUUCCACAUGUAUCUUCUCAUUGACCAUAUCUUAUUUUAUAUGCAGUGUUAUAUUUUUGACAAUGUUUCCAAUUUACUUGUAUUAAUUUUAUUUCAUUGUUGUAAUACCUGUAGAAACAGGAGCCACAGUUUUACUGGAUGCUUAGUAUUCAUGGGCCGCUUUCACAAAAUUUAAA